rnacentral:piRNA from 1 species
GAUAUGCCAUUUCUGAGACACAA